CUGAAGCCCUGAGUACAAAUGCCAACUGCAAAUACCUGCCCAAUCUGAAAGAGGCUUCAGUUACUCAGUAUUAGUCAGUUGUGGCUGAAGAGGAAUGAAGGCUUUGAAGGGUGAUGGGCCAGAAUUUAGGUUCAGGUAAUAAACCAAACUUCAAGAAGACCACAGCCUCUGAAUGGAAGACGGCAGGACUUCACUCACAAUGAAGAGCAGGAAUUGUGAGAAGCUAUCCUUUCCUCCUGUCCUCUGUGCAUUCUGAUAUGCUCAACUUCAAUUAUAGCUCCCAACAAUGACAUGGGGCUGGAGCCAGCCUGGAGCCAGAAUUUCCUCCUGAGGCAGCCAGACAGCAAUGGUCACUGUGACAACUACAACCUGAGCAGAUUUUAGAGGAGUCCAUUCAUUUCUGACUCAAAUUUUGAAAAAGUCUACCCACUUGAUCAUUUGAUAGUUUAUUUAGAACUUAUAAUAAUUGUCAUUAGCACGUUAUUUGGCAGGUAGCAUGUCAGCAUGGGGAAUAUGUGUUGAUAUCUGUAGUUGUUGUUUCUUGAAGACUUACAAUAUGUUGGGAGAUAAAA